rnacentral:rRNA from 1 species
CACGGAGUUAGCCGGUCCUUCUUCUGCGAGUAACGUCACAGCUACUGGAUAUUAGCCAGUAACCUUUCCUCCUCGCUGAAAGUGCUUUACAACCCGAAGGCCUUCUUCACACACGCGGCAUGGCUGCAUCAGGGUUUCCCCCAUUGUGCAAUAUUCCCCACUGCUGCCUCCCGUAGGAAUCUGGGCCGUGUCUCAGUCCCAGUGUGGCUGAUCAUCCUCUCAGAACAGCUAGGGAUCGUCGCCUAGGUGAGCCUUUACCUCACCUACUAGCUAAUCCCACCUGGGCUAAUCAAGAUGCGCAAGGCCCGAAAGUCCCCCGCUUUGACCCGUAGGUAUUAUGCGGUAUUAGCAGUCGUUUCCAACUGUUAUCCCCCUCAUCUCGGCAUAUUCCCAGGCAUUACUCACCCGUCCGCCGCUCGUCAGCAAAAGUGCAAGCUACUUCCUGUUACCGCUCGACUUGCAUGUGUUAGGCCUGCCGCCAGCGUUCAAU